rnacentral:rRNA from 1 species
UAGGGAAUCUUCGGCAAUGGGGGGAACCCUGACCGAGCAACGCCGCGUGAGUGAAGAAGGAUUUCGGUUCGUAAAACUCUGUUGUUAGAGAAGAACAGCGCAUAGAGUAACUGUUAUGCGUGUGACGGUAUCUAACCAGAAAGCCACGGCUAACUACGUGCCAGCAGCCGCGGUAAUACGUAGGUGGCAAGCGUUGUCCGGAUUUAUUGGGCGUAAAGCGAGCGCAGGCGGUCAAUUAAGUCUGAUGUGAAAGCCCCCGGCUCAACCGGGGAGGGUCAUUUGAAACUGGUUGACUUGAGUGCAGAAGGGGAGAGUGGAAUUCCAUGUGUAGCGGUGAAAUGCGUAGAUAUAUGGAGGAACACCGGUGGCGAAAGCGGCUCUCUGGUCUGUAACUGACGCUGAGGCUCGAAAGCGUGGGGAGCGAACAGG